rnacentral:rRNA from 1 species
UACGGAGGGUGCAAGCGUUAAUCGGAAUUACUGGGCGUAAAGCGCGCGUAGGUGGUUUGGUAAGCGAGAUGUGAAAGCCCCGGGCUUAACCUGGGAACGGCAUUUCGAACUGUCAGACUAGAGUGUGGUAGAGGGUAGUGGAAUUUCCUGUGUAGCGGUGAAAUGCGUAGAUAUAGGAAGGAACACCAGUGGCGAAGGCGGCUACCUGGACCAACACUGACACUGAGGUGCGAAAGCGUGGGGAGCAAACAGGAUUAGAUACCCCGGUAGUCCCUGAGCGGG